AAUCAACGCUGGCGGCGUGCCUAACACAUGCAAGUCGCACGAGAAAGGGACUUCGGUCCUGAGUACAGUGGCGCACGGGCGAGUAACACGUGAAUAAUCUACCUUCGAGUGGGGAAUAACUGAGAGAAAUCUUAGCUAAUACCGCAUAAUACCCACGGGUCAAAGCAGCAAUGCGCUUGAAGAGGAGUUCGCGGCAGAUUAGUUAGUUGGCAGGGUAAUGGCCACCAAGACGAUGAUCUGUAUCCGGCCUGAGAGGGCGCACGGACACACUGGAACUGAAACACGGUCCAGACUCCUACGGGAGGCAGCAGUGGGGAAUUUUGUCGCAAUGGGGGAAACCCGUGACGCAGCAACGCCGCGUGAGGAUGAAAUCCCUUGGGAUGUAAACUCCUUUCGAUCGGGAAGAUAAUGACGGUACCGAGAGAAGAAGCCCCGGCUAA
rnacentral:rRNA from 1 species